rnacentral:rRNA from 1 species
AUUGAACGCUGGCGGCAGGCCUAACACAUGCAAGUCGAGCGAGCGGCGGACGGGUGAGUAAUGUCUGGGAAACUGCCUGAUGGAGGGGGAUAACUACUGGAAACGGUAGCUAAUCCCGCAUACCAUCAGAUGUGCCCAGAUGUGAUUAGCUAGUAGGUGGGGUAACGGCUCACCUAGGCGACGAUGCCUCGCUGGUCUGAGAGGAUGACCAGCCACACGGGAACUGAGACACGGUCCAGACUCCGACGGGAGGCAGCAGUGGGGAAUAUUGCACAAUGGGCGGAAGCCUGAUGCAGCCAAGCCGCGUGUGUGAAGAAGGCCUUCGGGUUGUAAAGCACUUUCAGCGGGGAGGCGUUACCCGCCGAAGAAGCACCGGCUAACUCCGUGCCAGCAGCCGCGGUAAUAC